AUACAUGCAAGUCGAGCGAACGGACGAGAAGCUUGCUUCUCUGAUGUUAGCGGCGGACGGGUGAGUAACACGUGGAUAACCUACCUAUAAGACUGGGAUAACUUCGGGAAACCGGAGCUAAUACCGGAUAAUAUUUUGAACCGCAUGGUUCAAAAGUGAAAGACGGUCUUGCUGUCACUUAUAGAUGGAUCCGCGCUGCAUUAGCUAGUUGGUAAGGUAACGGCUUACCAAGGCAACGAUGCAUAGCCGACCUGAGAGGGUGAUCGGCCACACUGGAACUGAGACACGGUCCAGACUCCUACGGGAGGCAGCAGUAGGGAAUCUUCCGCAAUGGGCGAAAGCCUGACGGAGCAACGCCGCGUGAGUGAUGAAGGUCUUCGGAUCGUAAAACUCUGUUAUUAGGGAAGAACAUAUGUGUAAGUAACUGUGCACAUCUUGACGGUACCUAAUCAGAAAGCCACGGCUAACUACGUGCCAGCAGCCGCGGUAAUACGUAGGUGGCAAGCGUUAUCCGGAAUUAUUGGGCGUAAAGCGCGCGUAGGCGGUUUUUUAAGUCUGAUGUGAAAGCCCACGGCUCAACCGUGGAGGGUCAUUGGAAACUGGAAAACUUGAGUGCAGAAGAGGAAAGUGGAAUUCCAUGUGUAGCGGUGAAAUGCGCAGAGAUAUGGAGGAACACCAGUGGCGAAGGCGACUUUCUGGUCUGUAACUGACGCUGAUGUGCGAAAGCGUGGGGAUCAAACAGGAUUAGAUACCCUGGUAGUCCACGCCGUAAACGAUGAGUGCUAAGUGUUAGGGGGUUUCCGCCCCUUAGUGCUGCAGCUAACGCAUUAAGCACUCCGCCUGGGGAGUACGACCGCAAGGUUGAAACUCAAAGGAAUUGACGGGGACCCGCACAAGCGGUGGAGCAUGUGGUUUAAUUCGAAGCAACGCGAAGAACCUUACCAAAUCUUGACAUCCUUUGACAACUCUAGAGAUAGAGCUUUCCCCUUCGGGGGACAAAGUGACAGGUGGUGCAUGGUUGUCGUCAGCUCGUGUCGUGAGAUGUUGGGUUAAGUCCCGCAACGAGCGCAACCCUUAAGCUUAGUUGCCAUCAUUAAGUUGGGCACUCUAAGUUGACUGCCGGUGACAAACCGGAGGAAGGUGGGGAUGACGUCAAAUCAUCAUGCCCCUUAUGAUUUGGGCUACACACGUGCUACAAUGGACAAUACAAAGGGCAGCGAAACCGCGAGGUCAAGCAAAUCCCAUAAAGUUGUUCUCAGUUCGGAUUGUAGUCUGCAACUCGACUACAUGAAGCUGGAAUCGCUAGUAAUCGUAGAUCAGCAUGCUACGGUGAAUACGUUCCCGGGUCUUGUACACACCGCCCGUCACACCACGAGAGUUUGUAACACCCGAAGCCGGUGGAGUAACCUUUUAGGAGCUAGCCGUCGAAGGUG
rnacentral:rRNA from 1 species